GUGAUUUUAAAUACACAUUGAUGGAUUUUUGCUUUCUUUGGAAUUUAUUGUUUGAAUUUCAGGUUUACAUCGCCAGCUUCUAUAUGUUACUUCUUUUGUCUUUAUUGGAUAUUAUCUUUUAAAACGUCAAGAUUAUAUGUAUGCUGUGAAGGACCAUGAUAUGUUUGCAUAUGUAAAAUCACAUCCAGAGGAUUUUCCUGAAAAAGGUAUUUCAUUUAUUUAUUUGANNNNNNNNNNNNNNNNNNNNNNNNNNNNNNNNNNNNNNNNNNNNNNNNNNNNNNNNNNNNNNNNNNNNNNNNNNUUUUUUUUAAAGAAUGGUGGAAGAAAUAACAAUAAAUUACAUAUCUGAACUGCAAAGCUGUGAUUUUAAAUACACAUUGAUGGAUUUUUGCUUUCUUUGGAAUUUAUUGUUUGAAUUUCAGGUUUACAUCGCCAGCUUCUAUAUGUUACUUCUUUUGUCUUUAUUGGAUAUUAUCUUUUAAAACGUCAAGAUUAUAUGUAUGCUGUGAAGGACCAUGAUAUGUUUGCAUAUGUAAAAUCACAUCCAGAGGAUUUUCCUGAAAAAGGUAUUUCAUUUAUUUAUUUGAUUUAUUAUUUUUUGAAAAAGGUGUUUCAGGGGCGCCUGGGUGGCUCAGUCGGUUAAGCGUCCAACUUUAUGAUCCCACGGUUCAUGGGUUCAAGCCCCGCAUCAGGCUCUGUGCUGACAGCUCAAAGCCUGGAGCCUGCUUUGGAUUCUGUGUUUCUGUCUCUCUCUGCCCUUCACCUGCUCACACUCUGUCUCUCUGUCUCUCUCUCUCAAAAUUAAAUAAGUAAACAUAAAAAAAGAGAAAGGUAUUUCAAGUUACCUAUAGUGAACCUCUUUCUUACCCUGUAUCAUUUGCCCUGGUUAAUCUUAUACAUGCCUGUGGCUUCAGGUACAUUCAGUAUUCUGUUGACUCUCACAUCAUUGCCUAUGUAUUAGGAUUCUCUUGAAUUUGUAUAUCCAGUUCCUAGCCGAGUACCUCUGUGUCCCUCAGACAGCAAACAGAUUUUAUGUCCCCUCUGCCUGGGCAGACUUCUGUUCUGUGUUCUGCAUUGGUGAGUGGCACUGUUGUCCACCUGGUUACUCCAGCCAGAAGCCUGGGAAGUGUCUUCCAGUCUUUCUGUGACCAGUCAUUAGUCCUCAAGUCUUACCAUUCUACUUCCUAUUUCUCAAUCCUAAACUCCCAUCUCUCUCCCACUGCCACUACCCCAGUUCACACCCUUAUAAUCUCUUGCUUGAACUCUUGCACUUGCCUCCAGCACACCUCUGCCUUCAGUCUUACUGAAGAUCAUGUCUCUGGAUAAAUGUGGCUAUGCAUAAUAAUAGGCAUUGCUUACAGUAGCUAUCUAUUGCCUAUCGGACAAAAUCCAGACUGUUUAGGAGGGCUUAUUUCCCCAGGCUGAGCUAAUUGCCUGCUAGAAAGACUUUGCCCAUACCUUUUAUCUACCACAUAACAUGUACAUGUCUGUCUCCCUCACUAGACUGUAGCUUCAUCUUUGUUUCCCCAGCCCGCUAGUAUAAAGCCUAUACUAGUAAGCAAUAAAUAAUAGCUGAUCUGAUCUACACAAAAACCUGUCUCACUCCUGUCAAUCAUCUCCUGCCUUGUGAAAUUCUGUGUCCUAAAUCUGCCCUAUAUCCUGGGUAAUGCUCAACUCUGUACCUUCUUGAUCGUCCUCUUCCUCCAUUUUUACCUGUCCAUCUAGCAAAUUCCAACCUAAGAUUCAUCGUCUCGAAGAAGUCUUGGCCCAGCUACAGACAGGAAUUUCCUCAGUACACUCUACUUACCACUCUUCAACUAUGAAUAUGAUUGUAAUAUAACUGUUGUCUUGUUUGUAUUUUAAUACAUAUACAUAAUACAGAUGUACAUAUAUGUGAAGGAAUGAAUGAACAAAUGUAGAAAAACUUUGAACUUACAUAGAUUUUAAAGAGAUAUUUAAAUAUUUACAUAUUCACAAAAAUGUGUAAUAUUAAGCAUUUAAAUUUUAUUAUACUAAAGGAUGGUCUCUAAUGUCCUAUUUAGCUCUAAAAUUUUAUUACUCUAUUUAAUAUUCCCAUAGCCUUUAAUCACAUAUGUGAUGUUCAUGGUGGAUCAAAAAGGUAUAGCUUUCUUUACCAAUGAAGAAUUCAAAGGCUAGAGUACAAAGCCAUGAAUAAUGGAUGUAUCAGGGAUGGGGAGUAGGCAAAUGCACGUUAGCAUUGGAAUCUUGGAAACCGUGAUUCCUAACAGACCCAGUGGCAGAGCAGUCCUCGGUCCCAGGCCUGUGGCUCAUUGCCUCCUGUUUAUACUAGCUCCCUCUGUCAGUGGGAGCCUGUGUAGCCUUACAGACUCAUUCUGUCUCUGAGCAGCAUAUCAGUGGCAGGUGUGCUGAGAGCCUCUUGCACUGACAGCAGGGACAUGGAAAGCUUGACCACCUCGACUCCUGGUCCUGCAGCUGACCUGUGCUCCUCCCUGUUUAUUCCUUCCAUUACCCCGUCAGCCAGGGCCCCCUGGCAGCGCUCUGUCCCUCUGGGCAGCCAUCUGGAUGUCACCAGAGUCUUCCAAAGUUACCCUUCAUCCAGUGAAACAGUGUCUCAGGGAUUGCCAAGCUAUGGUUGAGGACAAGAACCUAAGGAAAUUCUUAGAGGAGUUUCUGUCUACGAGAAUAUUAACUGUUAAUUUUUCUUUAGGAAAUACGAUUUUUAAAACAUAACUUAAGGGGCUUCUGAGUGGCUUAAUUGGUUUAGCAUCUGACUUCAGCUCAGGUCAUGAUCUCACGGUUCCUGGGUUUGAGCCCUACAUUUGGGCUCUGUGCUGACAGCUCUAAGCCCAGAGCGUGCUCAAUUCUGUGUCUCCCUCUCUCUCUGACCGUCUCCGACUUGUGUUCUGUCUCUCUCAAAAAUAAAUAAACAUAGGAAAAAAUUUUUUAAUAAAAAUAAAACCUAAUUUAAAAAUAAUUUUUUUUGUGAUCUUUCCUUUUUAUAGAUAAGAAAAUUUAUGGUGACUUUCUUGAAGAAUUCCAUCCAGUGCGUUGAAGUCUCCAAAAUGCUUACUUUGGUUUCACUGAUACCAGUUAUGUCUGAAUUUUGUGAAACAUGUUUCCAUGAUACCUGAAGUUUAUGUUAAUCUGUAUGUUAACACUUUGUGAUUAAAAUGGUCAUCAUGAACACUCUUGACUCCUUUUUGUCAUAAGAAAAAUAAUUCACUGGAGAAUGGUCCGUUUCCAUUCACCCAAUUUUAAGAAGACAUCUGGCAGAUUUACAGUGGAGUUUAGGUGGGGGGCCUGGGUGGCUCAGUCAAUUAAGCCUCCAACUUCAGCUCAGGUCAUGUUCUCACAGUUCGUGGGUUCAAUCCCUGCUUCAGGCUCUGCUGACAGUUCAGAGCCUGGGACCUACUUCAGAUUCUGUUG
rnacentral:lncRNA from 1 species